AGCUGGUGAGCAUAAGCACAUCGGCAAGAGUGAGAGAAGCAGUGCCAUGACCGAAGACAAAGGCAUUGAGUGUGUCUGACUAGAAAUAUGAUGCAGCAAUCAGUAGUGACUCAUUCCUAUGCAUAUCGGCAAGGGACAACCUGAUACAUUGAUCCAGUUUUCGCUCACCCCACUGAACCUCAUUAGAAUGGCUGACCCUCAAAAACCAAUCCUUCCAUCCCACAGUGGGACUGGGCCAGGAACGGAAGGUAUCUUUCCACAGAUCUAGAGAAAAAUUCUCGGCUCUAAAGGGGAUUCUGUUCAUUUCUGCGUUGAUA
rnacentral:lncRNA from 1 species